GCGCACCAGGCGAGAAACCUUCGCAAUGCGGGAAACCGCGACGAGGGACUCCCAGUGCCUACGCUCAGCGUAGGCUGUUCCCGAGCCUAGAAAGCUCGGGGAGUAAGGGCUGGGUAAGACGGGUGCCAGCCGCCGCGGUAAUACCCGCAGCCCGAGUGGUGGCCACUAUUAUUGGGCCUAAAGCGUCCGUAGCCGGCCCGGUAAAUGCCUGGGUAAAUCGUGAGGCCUAACCUCACGAAUUCCGGGUAGACUGCCGGGCUAGGGACCGGAGGAGGGAGAGGGUACUCCAGGGGUAGGGGUGAAAUCCUGUAAUCCCUGGAGGACCACCGGUGGCGAAGGCGCUCUCCUAGGACGGGUCCGACGGUGAGGGACGAAAGCCAGGGGAGCGAACCGGAUUAGAUACCCCGGUAGU
rnacentral:rRNA from 1 species